rnacentral:rRNA from 1 species
GGAAGGCGUUGAGGUUAAUAACCUCGGCGAUUGACGUUACCCGCAGAAGAAGCACCGGCUAACUCCGUGCCAGCAGCCGCGGUAAUACGGAGGGUGCAAGCGUUAAUCGGAAUUACUGGGCGUAAAGCGCACGCAGGCGGUCUGUCAAGUCGGAUGUGAAAUCCCCGGGCUCAACCUGGGAACUGCAUUCGAAACUGGCAGGCUAGAGUCUUGUAGAGGGGGGUAGAAUUCCAGGUGUAGCGGUGAAAUGCGUAGAGAUCUGGAGGAAUACCGGUGGCGAAGGCGGCCCCCUGGACAAAGACUGACGCUCAGGUGCGAA